rnacentral:sRNA from 1 species
GUUUUAAAAGAUUUUCGUCGCUUCUUCUU